UACGAGGGGGGCAAGCGGUUGUUCGGAAUUAUUGGGCGUAAAGGGCGCGUAGGUGGUUCGGUAAGUCAGGUGUGAAACCUCCAGGCUCAACCUGGAGACGCCACUUGAUACUGCUGUGACUGGAGUCCGGUAGGGGAGCGGUGGGAAUUCCUGGUGUAGCGGUGAAAUGCGCAGAUAUCAGGAGGAACACCAGCGGCGAAGGCGGCGCUCUGGGCCGGUACUGACACUGAGGAGCGAAAGCGUGGGUAGCAAACAGG
rnacentral:rRNA from 1 species